CUUUUGGGCAAAAACGCCAAGGAAAUAUGCCAUCGCCCAUCUCUUCAAGGUUUUCUUCUCCUCUAAACCCACCUCACUUCUGCAUUUUUCCUUCAACCGUUAAACUCCUGCCUGAUCUUACCGCCACCGCCACAGCCAAAAAAUCAACCCCCACCAUGUCCUUCUCCUCCUCAUCCUCCUCGUCGCCAUCACCAUCUAUAACCAACCCCAAAAAAGACAAAAAUUCUAACCCAGACCCGCAAAAGCUAACCCAAGUCUUAAAAUACCACAACCAGACCAAACACUCCUUUACCAACUAUGCCAGAGGUCCUCGCGGCCUCGACUGGGCCAACCAACCCAAUCCAUUUCGGCGUUACAUCUCUGCUACACUCCUUUCUCUCCUACAUUUUCCCACUGACAAUCAAACCCCGUCAGCAUCAACUGCUGAUUCCGCUCCUUCAUACCAUUCUGUUUUUAAUUCUCUUCCUCCUCCAAAACCCAUCUCCAAAUCAUCGAUUUCUCAACUGUUUUAUGAUUCUCUCGCUCUCUCUGCUUGGAAAACUGCCGGUUUCUCUACUUGGUCUCUCCGGGUUAACCCGAGUAGCGGCAAUUUACACCCAACAGAAGCGUAUCUUAUUGCCCCACCAAUCGAAUCCCUUUCUAAUUCUGCUUUUGUGGCGCAUUAUGCACCAAAAGAGCAUUCUCUAGAGCUUAGAGCUACAAUCCCAUCUGAUUUUUUUCCGAAAUUCUUUCCUCGAAAUUCGUUUCUAAUCGGAAUUUCAUCAAUUUUCUGGCGUGAGGCGUGGAAAUAUGGAGAGCGUGCGUUUCGCUACUGUAAUCACGAUGUGGGUCAUGCUAUUGCUGCAAUUGCAAUGGCUGCAGCUGCACUUGGAUGGGACGUGAAGUUGCUUGAUGGGCUAGGUCAUAAGGAGUUGGAUAGGUUAAUGGGCCUCGAAACGUAUCAAGGGUUUCAAAUUCCAGACACGCCAAUUAAAGGGAAAAUUCCAGAAAUUGAAUUUGAACAUCCCGAUUGUUUGCUUCUUGUUUUUCCUAACGGGAUCAAUGACUUGGAUGUUAAUUAUAAGGAACUGAGCUCGGCGAUAACGGAAUUUAGAAACUUGGAGUGGAAAGGGAAGCCAAAUUCGCUUAGCAAAGAACACGUUUGCUGGGAUAUAAUUUACAGAACUGCAGAGGCUGUCAAAAAGCCGUUAACAGUGGGAGAUAGGUUCUCGAUUGAUCCAUUUCCGGGUAGUGGCGUUUGUAGUGAACGGUCAUAUAAAGGUUUUACAGUAAGAGAAGUAGUAAGGAAGAGGAGAAGCGCAGUGGAUAUGGACGGAGUUACUAAAAUAAGUAGGGAAACAUUUUAUCAGAUUUUGCUACAUUGUCUUCCUUCGGGUUCUGGAGGUGGCAAAAAUCACAAGAAACAGUUGGCAUUGCCAUUUCGUGUUCUCUCAUGGGAUGCAGAGGUGCAUGCUGCUUUAUUUGUGCAUAGGGUGAUUGGGCUGCCAAAGGGAUUAUAUUUCUUGACGAGAAAUGAAGAUCAUUUCAAUGAACUUAAGAAAGCUACAAGGGAGGCUUUUAAAUGGGAGAAACCAGAGGGGUGUCCAAAUAAUUUACCUUUGUAUGAACUUGCUAGAGGUGAUUGCCAGCAGAUUGCCAAACAGCUUUCCUGCCUUCAGGACAUAGCAAGCGAUGGCUGCUUCAGCCUUGGUAUGGUAGCGCAUUUUGAACCUGCCUUGCGUGGCAAGGGCGUGUGGAUGUAUCCCCGACUGUUUUGGGAGACUGGAGUCCUUGGUCAGGUGUUGUACCUUGAAGCACAUGCAGUUGGAAUUUCUGCCACUGGCAUUGGUUGCUUCUUCGACGAUCCUGUGCAUGAAGUUCUUGGGUUGAAAGGAUCAAACUUUCAGAGUUUAUAUCAUUUCACUGUUGGAGGCCCAGUAUUGGACAAGCGCAUAAUGAGCUUACCAGCUUAUCCUGGACCUGAUGCUGAUGCCUGAUUUCUCCUGGAGAAGCAUAGCUUAUGUUUGUUGGCCUCUGUAAAUGCAAUUUGACCUGUACAGCUCAUGCUGGAGAGUGGUAAAUAUUACAUCUGAUAGCUCAAAGGAUCUUAUGGACUUUUUAUGAUAUGAGAAGGAUUAUCUUUAUUAUACAAAUAUAUGUUUAUUUGUUAUUUCUAUUUU
rnacentral:misc_RNA from 1 species